GCGUGAGCGAUGAAGGCCUUAGGGUUGUAAAGCUCUUUCACCGGUGACGAUAAUGACGGUAGCCGGAGAAGAAGCCCCGGCUAACUCCGUGCCAGCAGCCGCGGUAAUACGGAGGGGGCUAGCGUUGUUCGGAAUUACUGGGCGUAAAGCGCGCGUAGGCGGGCUGUUAAGUCGGGGGUGAAAUCCCGGGGCUCAACCCCGGAACUGCCUUCGAUACUGGCAGUCUUGAGAUCUGGAGAGGCGAGUGGAAUUCCGAGUGUAGAGGUGAAAUUCGU
rnacentral:rRNA from 1 species